rnacentral:rRNA from 1 species
UAGGGAAUAUUGGGCAAUGGAUGCAAGUCUGACCCAGCCAUGCCGCGUGCCGGAAGAAGGCCCCCAGGGUUGUAAACGGCUUUUAUUCGGGAAGAAGAGCAGGGAUGCGUCCUUGUGUGACGGUACCGAAUGAAUAAGCACCGGCUAACUCCGUGCCAGCAGCCGCGGUAAUACGGAGGGUGCGAGCGUUGUCCGGAUUUAUUGGGUUUAAAGGGUGCGUAGGUGGCUUUAUAAGUCAGUGGUGAAAUACAGCCGCUCAACGGUUGAGAUGCCAUUGAUACUGUAGAGCUUGAAACAAUUGGAGGCUGCCGGAAUGGAUGGUGUAGCGGUGAAAUGCAUAGAUAUCAUCCAGAACGGCGAUUGCGAAGGCAAGUGGCUACGUUAGAUUUGACACUGAGAGACGAAAGGAUGGGGAGCAAACA